rnacentral:rRNA from 1 species
GAUGAACGCUGGCGGCGUGCCUAAUACAUGCAAGUCGAGCGGUAAGGCCCUUCGGGGUACACGAGCGGCGGACGGGUGAGUAACGCGUAAGAAUCUACCCCAAACUGAGGGAUAACUGCUCGAAAGAGUAGCUAAUACCGCAUGUGCUCUACGGAGUAAAGCUACGGCGGUUUGGGAAGAGCUUGCGUACGAUUAGCUAGUUGGUAAGGUAAUGGCUUACCAAGGCGACGAUCGUUAGCUGGUCUGAGAGGAUGAUCAGCCACACUGGGACUGAGACACGGCCCAGACUCCUACGGGAGGCAGCAGUAGGGAAUUUUCCACAAUGGGGGCAACCCUGAUGGAGCAACGCCGCGUGCAGGAUGAAGGCCUUCGGGUUGUAAACUGCUUUUGUCUGUGACGAAUAUGACGGUAGCAGACGAAUAAGGAUCGGCUAACUACGUGCCAGCCGCCGCCGUAAUAC